GACGAACGCUGGCGGCGUGCUUAACACAUGCAAGUCGAACGGAAAGACCCUGCUUUUGUGGGGUGCUCGAGUGGCGAACGGGUGAGUAACACGUGAGUAACCUGCCCUUGACUUUGGGAUAACUUCAGGAAACUGGGGCUAAUACCGGAUAGGAGCUCCUGCCGCAUGGUGGGGGUUGGAAAGUUUCGGCGGUUGGGGAUGGACUCGCGGCUUAUCAGCUUGUUGGCGGGGUAGUGGCUUACCAAGGCUUUGACGGGUAGCCGGCCUGAGAGGGUGACCGGCCACAUUGGGACUGAGAUACGGCCCAGACUCCUACGGGAGGCAGCAGUGGGGAAUAUUGCACAAUGGGCGGAAGCCUGAUGCAGCAACGCCGCGUGCGGGAUGACGGCCUUCGGGUUGUAAACCGCUUUCGCCUGUGACGAAGCGUGAGUGACGGUAAUGGGUAAAGAAGCACCGGCUAACUACGUG
rnacentral:rRNA from 1 species